AAGGCGCUGCGGGCACUCCGGAUCGCAUUCACAAAGUCGUCGUAGUCCGCAGGAGUCAGUAAACAAAUGAAGAGCUAGAGGAAGGGUCCUCUGAAGAGCCACUGGCACAACUGCAGGCGGUGGAAAACCUCCGCUCACCAGAGGGCUGGGCUGUGUGGUCAGGGCAGGCAGUGAGGCACCUUGGAUGGCUGGAAACGUGGAUGCUGGAUGGACACUGCUCACUAAGUGGGGAAACGUGGGAAGAAUAAGUACGUGAGAGCCAGUUGGGAGAAACAAAGUUGUGCAGGCCAAGGGCAUAAAGCCCAAUCUCGAAGGCGCAAAGGUGCAGGUUGCGGUGAGGACCCUGGUGGCCCCCUGAGGAAGAUGGAUGUGUGAAAAUGGAAGUGCUGCUGUUGCCCCCUGCCUUGAUCAGCACUGUCUUCGCCAGCUCGAAGUAGAAGUGUGCAGCUGCCUCUGAUGGCUGAUUGGUCUUCGCCCGGGCUCCUCCACUGGCACUGGCCCGGCGACUUCCACUGGAGGAUGAGGAGCCCAGGGAGUCCGAAGAAGAGCUGCUAAUGCUGUCACUGUCCUGACCUCGACCCCAGGAGGUGGGGGCCCAGCCCCCUCGAAGUGGUCUCCGGCUUAAGGUGGGGGAACUAUCCGAUGUUGUUUCAGGGGCACUGCUGUCAAUGCUGGCCAUGCCUAACCCCCAAGAGAAGUCAGUCUCAGAAGUCAGGAGUCCCAGAUGUUAAGACUCCAACCUUCAGGAUUAUCCUUCCCUCUAUGCUAGCCCACAGGCUAUCCUACCUGUGUGCUUCUUCUUAGGCCGUCCUGGGGACCCCCAUCCCCGUCCAUUAUAGCCUCCACGACUGCCAAGUGCCAAGCGGCUAGGAACCUUCCCUUCUGGCCUUGGGGUCAAAGCUGCCUCAGAUGGAAGACCCUCACAGGGGGAAUGUGGGGAACUCUCUAGGUGAGGAAAACAGGACGCUGGGAUGAGCCCAGGAAAGGGGACCUCAACAUAGGUCCACACCAUUCAUCCCCCCUGCCCAGUGCCCCCACCUCACCAGGCACAUUCUUCUCUGUGAAGCCCUCAGUGGGGCCUGGCCCAGCCCCUGCCACACUCCCUGGUUGAGCAGGCCCUGCAGAGCCUGAGGUCAGUGGUUGCAGGGCCCCUGGGGCAGAUGGGCCCCCGUGCUUUGAAGGAGACCUCUGGCUGGCUGUGGUUGGGCGGCUAGAUGAGUAGAAAGAACUCAGCGUCUGUGGCUUAUGUGUCUGGCUCUCUCGGUCCAAGAGUUUGUCUAAGAUCUGGAAGACAGAAGCAGUGACCUCCAGAGAAGCAGUGACAGGAUGCCCUUUAGCUCCUGACUUCUAUUACCUUCCUUUCUCCUUGAAACAGCCAAUUGCUACAUCCUCAGGGAGCCUUCCCCACUUACAACCACAGGAUGACCUCCUGGUUUACAUGUCUUUUUGUAACUUAUUUAACCCCAACAUAUCUUGGUAUCCUCCAUUAACACCACAGGGCAGAAUAUACUGAUAGUCAAUAAAUACUGAAAUAAGUGAAUGA
rnacentral:lncRNA from 1 species